rnacentral:rRNA from 1 species
GACGAACGCUGGCGGCGUGCCUAAUACAUGCAAGUAGAACGAAGUUGCGAACGGGUGAGUAACGCGUAGGUAACUGCCUCAUAGCGGGGGAUAACUAUUGGAAACGAUAGCUAAUACCGCAUACUUUGAGAUUGACCUUCGUUGUAUUAGCUAGUUGGUGAGGUAAAGGCUCACCAAGGCGACGAUACAUAGCCGACCUGAGAGGGUGAUCGGCCACACUGGGACUGAGACACGGCCCAGACUCCUACGGGAGGCAGCAGGAGGGAAUCUUCGGCAAUGGACGAAAGGCUGACCGAGCAACGCCGCGUGAGUGAAGAAGGUUUUCGGAUCGUAAAACUCUGUUGUUAGAGAAGCGGUACCUAAUCAGAAAGCCACGGCUAACUACGUGCCAGCAGCCGCGGUAAUAC